AUUGAACGCUGGCGGCGUGCCUAACACAUGCAAGUCGAGCGGUAACAGGUGUAGCAAUACAUGCUGACGAGCGGCGAACGGGUGAGUAAUGCUUUGGAAUCUUCCCAGUAGUGGGGAAUAACCAGUCGAAAGAUUGGCUAAUACCGCAUACGUCUGUAAAGGGAAAGCGGGGGCUCGUAAGACCUCGCGCUAUUGGAUGAGCCAAAGUCGGAUUAGCUAGUUGGGGGGUAAUGGCCUACCAAGGCGACAAUCCGUAGCUGGUCUGAGAGGACGACCAGCCACACCGGAACUGAGACACGGUCCGGACUCCUACGGGAGGCAGCAGUGGGGAAUAUUGGACAAUGGGGGAAACCCUGAUCCAGCGACGCCGCGUGUGUGAAGAAGGCCUGCGGGUUGUAAAGCACUUUUAGUGGGGACAAAAAGCUACGGAUUAAUACUCUGUGGUCUUGUAUUUAACCCAAAGAAAAGCACCGGCUAACUCUGUGCCAGCCGCCGCCGUAAG
rnacentral:rRNA from 1 species